rnacentral:lncRNA from 1 species
AUGAUAAGGAUCUGCCUCCCUAGUCCUGCAAAUAGAGCAGUAGGUCUGGAAAGGAGAUGCUUAAUGUCCAUGGAUCGUCUCCUGCUCCAUUGCCGUAUCCGUUGGCAGUGUCCUGUGCUGCUAUUCCUCUUCUGCUGUUCAGCUGUUUUGUUCAAAUUGAAGCCUCUUUCUUCAGACAUCUCUCUACAGCACUCAGCAUUACAGCACCAAGAUCUUAACCAGAGCCUCUGCCUGUUGCCAAAGAAAAGACUGGAGAAUGGAGCUGAUUGAACAGCAUGAUUGUCUGACGAGAGCUGAAAAGCAGCACUUGCUGUAGGUAAUUUAAAUUGAGGCCUAUUAUCAUUUACGGAUUUAUUCUGCUUAGAAUCAAUAAGAUGAAAAAGGGUCUGAAAGCUUUACGCUAAUGCUAAUCGCUUUUGGGUCAGUAACUCCUUGUGUUUAAGUUAUGUAUUUCUUCCCUGUAUUCACUGAGCUACUUGGAAAGCGAAAUAUUUAAAAUAUUUUCCACUGAAGAGAGUCUCCCCUCCUACUUCACAGAGAAUUCGGCAUUGAUAAAUCUUUUGUUAAACUGAAAAAGUUCCCUGAGAGGGAAGUGACACCAACCAAAAGGACAAAAGAGAUGCUCUGGAAAGAAGUUCAGCACAAAUGCCCUGGAAAUUUUGAUUUAAAGCAGCAUUCAUGGUGGCUGGUGACUGAACUUUUCCCUAGGACACAGAGUGAAGCCAGGUUUGGGUAGCCACAGUCAUUCUACCUUCUACUAGAGCAACAAUUUUCUUCCUGGAUAAUUUAUCUUUGGGGGUUAGAGAUAUCACUGGACCCAGGACAGAAGAGAAAAGACCAAAAGGGGCGGGGGGGGGGGAUAGUUUAGAACCACGAUGAUUUUGGUAUAGUGAGUCAAUCAAGAGGGAAUACAGUGAAAGGAUUUCAUAUACAUCAAGGAGGAAAAAAAAAAGUGUGGUUAAACAGGACAGAAAAUGACAAAAAAAUCACUUUGACAAAUUUGUCUAGUAAGACCUUGUAAUCGUGUUUUGAGGCUGCAGGCAAGGGACCUAAGUGUGCUGUGCCAAAGGGCUGUGUUUGGCAGACUGGAGGAGAGCUGACAAGUUCCUAUGAGGAAGAAACCUAAAUACAUCGCUGAGCAAGGAGCCAUGCAGGAGUUCCCAGUCUUCCAGACUUACUUUGUUCCUUUUGAAGCUCAGGAACUGGUGCCAAAAAUCAGGCUUAAACAGAAGGUGAGGAAAAAUUGACCUCUGUUACAGUAAGAACGUCUACUGCAUUAAUAAUGCCUAAAUUAUGAAAUAAAAUGUCAUUUAUUUGCUAUACA